rnacentral:rRNA from 1 species
UACGUAGGCAGCGAGCGCUGUUCGGAGUUACUGGGCGUAAAGGGUGUGUAGGCGGUUUUCUAAGUUUGGUGUGAAAUCUCCCGGCUCAACCGGGAGGGUGCGCCGAAAACUGGGAGACUAGAGUGCGGGAUGGGAGAGUAGAAUUCCUGGUGUAGCGGUGAAAUGCGUAGAUAUCAGGAGGAAUACCGGUGGUGUAGACGGCUCUCUGGACCGCCACUGACGCUGAGACACGAAAGCGUGGGUAGCAAACAGG